rnacentral:rRNA from 1 species
UACGUAGGGGGCGAGCGUUGUCCGGAAUCAUUGGGCGUAAAGCGCGUGUAGGCGGCCCGGUAAGUCCGCUGUGAAAGUCCAGGGCUCAACCCUGGGAUGCCGGUGGAUACUGUCGGGCUCGAGUCCGGAAGAGGCGAGUGGAAUUCCUGGUGUAGCGGUGAAAUGCGCAGAUAUCAGGAGGAACACCAAUGGCGAAGGCAGCUCGCUGGGACGUGACUGACGCUGAGACGCCAAAGCGUGGGGAGCAAACAGG